GAUGAACGCUGGCGGCGUGCCUAACACAUGCAAGUCGAGCGAUUCUCUUCGGAGAAGAGCGGCGGACGGGUGAGUAACGCGUGGGUAACCUGCCCUAUACACAUGGAUAACAUACCGAAAGGUAUGCUAAUACAGGAUAACAUAAGAGAUUCGCAUGGAUUUCUUAUCAAAGCUCCGGCGGUAUGGGAUGGACCCGCGUCUGAUUAGCUAGUUGGUAAGGUAACGGCUUACCAAGGCGACGAUCAGUAGCCGACCUGAGAGGGUGAUCGGCCACAUUGGAACUGAGACACGGUCCAAACUCCUACGGGAGGCAGCAGUGGGGAAUAUUGCACAAUGGGCGAAAGCCUGAUGCAGCAACGCCGCGUGAGUGAUGAAGGCCUUCGGGUCGUAAAACUCUGUCCUCAAGGAAGAUAAUGACGGUACUUGAGGAGGAAGCCCCGGCUAACUACGUGCCAGCCGCCGCAGUAACAC
rnacentral:rRNA from 1 species